CAUAUCGUGGGAAACAAGGCACGUGAUCUUCUCAGGGAAUCUAAUGGAUAGCCGGUUCCCAAGAUUUUGCUUUUUAUUUAUUUCCAUUUAUUCAUAAUAUUUAAAAAAAAAAAAAACAUUUAUUCAUAUUAUAAUUAGGGCAAGAGGGCUACAAAAGACAGGCCCCAGCUGCCAACCCACAAAACCAAUAACUCAUCUCACGGUAAAGCCACACUAUAAAAAAAUAUCAUUGCAUCUUAUCAUCAAAUCAAAACAUAUCAUUAUCACCUUUAACACCUUUAACCAAAGGUGUUGAAUAUUUGGUUUCAAUCUUCAAGGCCACAAGAAUGGUGGUUUUGGUUGGCUCUGGUUUUUCUUCUUGAAAGGUCUUCUCUAAUGGACCAAUAACCAUUUCGUCCAAGAAUGCAUAGGCCUGGAAUACAUCUGAGAGCCCAAAUGGCAAACAAGUAAGCAGUAGACCAAAUAAUAUAUAGUCAGCCAAUGGAAAAAUGUGAGGCAAUAUCCUUCAGAGAAUUAGUAUUACAUUGUUAUGGUAAUAGUGAAACCAAAUAUAUCCCUCACAAGACCAUUAGUAAAGAACAACAAUGUUUAUUAGAUAAUAUUCAUCGCGCUUAUCUAUUUAAUAAUUAUAGAUAUUUCCAGACAGUAUUAAAAAGCCUAAUAGAAUACUUCCAAAGUAAGAAAUUUGUUUAUUACUAUUUAGUAUUUCGAGGGAAAAAACCAGGAUUAUAUAAGUCAUGGCAAUCAGUAGCUGAAACAGUAGAUAAAUUUAAUAAUGCCCUUUGGAAAUGCCAAGUAAAUUAUGAAGAAGCUACUAAAGCUGCUAUUAUGUAUUGGAGUCUCAAUUAUUUUGAUGAGACAAAAGAUAAGGGGAAAGAAAAAGUAACCGAAUUAAAUUACCCAAAUUGUAUUUAUUAUAAUAAAACAAUAAUAGAAAAAGACUUGGUAAACAAAAAAUUAAAAGAAGAAAAUGAAGCAUGCUGGGACCAAAUUAAUAGUCUUAAGCUUCAAUUGGAUGUCUUUCGACAUCAGCGUCAGCAACAGAGCACUCCACCUACCACCAAUCAAGUAACCAUAUCCACUAAAGACAUACAACUUCUUAUCAAUAAAGUUGUCGACGAGAAAAUGGAGAAGUGGAAUAGUCAAUUUGAUGGGACAUAUGAUGCAGAAGACUCCAUCGACAGACUUGGACUUGAGGACCCUACUAUGGGAAGCACUACGAUUUAAAGUCUGAUUUAAAGAUAAGAUGCUCUUUUCACAAAGACCAAAGGUAGCCGCCCAUGUGCUACGCAUCAUAUAUUUUCAGAAAAAACAAAAUCCCAUAAAUGCUUAACUUUAUCAUCUUAUUCUCACUUUAAUAAAAUAAUAGAGGAUAACUUUUUAUUUCGGUAUAAAUAAGCUAAGGAGUCUGGCUUGUAGACUCACUUCUAGUCUUUUUAAAUCUUAUUCUCUAAACCCAGAGAAACCUCUAAGUCUUGAAAACCAUCAAACUUAGCUUUCUCUUCUAUUGUAUAAUAUUUUAUAAGUUUAUUAAUAAAAUGGGUUACCAUUGCUAAAACA